UCCUCAUAGAGAUGAAUUACAUUAAUCAAUCUCUAUGAGGAACAUUCAGCGGCUCCAUUCAGAGCUUGGAGACACUGAACCUGGAUGCUGCACAUGGUGCAGCAGUGACCCAGGACUCUCUAGUGGCCAUCUGAGUAACGGUCACUGGAGGUGUUAGUAAGCAGCAAUGUUUUUCACGGAAAAGGCAGUAUUUACACUGAAACGCCUGCAGGGACAGGCUAUAGACACGAGAACAACUACAUCAAGCUGUAGUGGUUCUGGUGACUAUAGUGUACCUUUAAGAAUUGCACUUUUUCGUUGAAAAACUAGCUCCUAACUUUUUUAGCUGGCUCCUAUAUUCCAAACAAAUUUGUCAAGCCCUGUUAUAAUAAUAAUAAUAAAACCCACUGUGUGAGGUGAUAAAAUGCUGUGUGAGGUGAUAGAAUCCGCUGUGUGAGGUGAUAAAAUCCUGCUGUGUGAGGUGAUAAAAUCCUGCUGUGUGAGGUGAUAAAACCCGCUGUGUGAAGUGAUAAAAUGCUGUGCGAGGUGAUAAAAUCCACAGGGUGAGGUGAUAAAAUGCUGGGUGAGGUGAUAAAACCCGCUGUGUGAGGUGAUAAAAUCCGCUGUGUGAGGUGAUAAAAUGCUGUGUGAGGUGAUACAAUCCACUGUGUGAGGUGAUAAAAUCCACUGUGUCAGGUGAUAAAAUGCUGUGUCAGGUGAUAAAAUCUGCUGUGUGAGGUGAUAAAAUCUGCUGAGUGAGGUGAUAAAACCCGCUGCGUGAGUGAUAAAAUGCUGUGUGAGGUGAUAAAAUGCUGUGUGAGGUGGUAAAACCCGCUGUGUGAGGUGAUAAAAUCCACUGAGUGAGGUGAUAAAACCCGCUGUGUGAGGUGAUAAAAUCCGCUGAGUGAGGUGAUAAAAUCUGCUGUGUGAGGUGAUAAAAUGCCGUGUGAGGUGAUAAAAUCUGCUGUGUGAGAUGAUAAAAUCCUGCUGCGUGAGGUGAUAAACUCCGCUGAGUGAGGUGCUAAAAUGCUGUGUGAGGUGAUAAAACCCGCUGUGUGAGGUGAUAAAAUCCGCAGGGUGAGGUGAUAAAAUCCUGCUGCGUGAGGUGAUAAACCCAGCUGAGUGAGUUGAUAAAAUGCUGUGUGAGGUGAUAAAACCGGCUGUGUGAGGUGAUAAAACCCGCUGUGUGAGGUGAUAAAAUCUGCUGCGUGAGGUGAUAAAAUCUGCUGCGUGAGGUGAUAAAAUGCUGUGUGAGGUGAUAAAAUCCUGCUGCGUGAGGUGAUAAAGUCCGCAGGGUGAGGUAGCAGGGUGAGAUGAUAAAACCCGCUGAGUGAGUUGAUAAAAUCCGCAGGGUGAGGUGAUAAAGGCGGGAAAAAUGGAAAGGCUGAGAGAGCCUAUUAAAAGCUAAAGGGUAACAAAGCAAAUCCCUUUAGACAAGUAAGACAAGGAAUAGAAAUAAAAGAAACAUGCAACAAAUGAAAAAUACAUAUUAAAAGUAAAAAAAAAAAUCACAAGUUAAAAGGUAUUUUAAUUUAAAAACUUAAGGCAAUAUAAUUAGAAUAGACUCAACUGGAAGGCAAGCAACAAAGAAAGAGGAAGUGUGAGGAGUCUAAGUGCACUACAUGUUAUUGAUAUACAUUCUGAUUGGUUGAUUUUUUUCAUCCACAUUGUUAACUAUUUCUUUCCUGCUGAGAGAUUUCAGUAAAGAAGGAUAAGCAAAUAUGAAGCCUCCUGUCUUGCCAUAAAAUUGGCAGCCAACUUCUGUCCAGGUGAUCUAGACCUCCCAUGAUGUUUUGCCAGUCUUUAUCUAGUAAAGAAAGCAUAAUUUGUAUCUGUAACAGCUGGAGGACCAGCACUGCAGCAAUGCCAACUUCCUUAAUGGAAUGAUUUGUAUUAGAGUUAUAUAUGUGGUUUGCAUAAAUAGGCAAUAUAGUAACUAUUACAUAAAGGAAAAAUAUAUUAACUGUAAAGGGGGCACCCGGAUUUGAACCGGGGACCUCUUGAUCUGCAGUCAAAUGCUCUGCCACUGAGUUAUACCCCCCACACACUCCUAGCAGGUAAAACAACUAGUAACAGCCACAAGGAGUGUUGUAGAACAGUGUUGUGCAUUUCAGGGAUUGUGCAGCUUAAAUAAAUAAUAC